AUUGAACGCUGGCGGCAUGCCUUACACAUGCAAGUCGAACGGCAGCGGGCCUUCGGGUGCCGGCGAGUGGCGAACGGGUGAGUAAUGCAUCGGAACGUGCCAUUGAGUGGGGGGAUAACGUAGCGAAAGUUGCGCUAAUACCGCAUAUUCUGUGAGCAGGAAAGCAGGGGACCGCAAGGCCUUGCGCUCUUUGAGCGGCCGAUGUCAGAUUAGCUAGUUGGUGAGGUAAAGGCUUACCAAGGCGACGAUCUGUAGCGGGUCUGAGAGGAUGAUCCGCCACACUGGAACUGAGACACGGUCCAGACUCCUACGGGAGGCAGCAGUGGGGAAUUUUGGACAAUGGGGGCAACCCUGAUCCAGCCAUGCCGCGUGAGUGAAGAAGGCCUC
rnacentral:rRNA from 1 species